ensembl:lncRNA
UUCUGAAGUAACUCCUUAACGGUGGUCUUCACCCGCACACCCUGGUACACCUUAGGUUUGUCUGGGGAUGAAGAGAAAAAUUGGUGCAGAGUUGGUAUGCAGACAGGGAAAAGGGAAAAGCACCGCACCCACCCCCGGCAACACAGCUAAAUCCCGCAUGUAAUACGGAGUGUGAGGGAAAUCUCCAGCGGCGUGUGUAUAAUCUCAUCAAAACACUCCGGUCCCAAAGGAUAAAGAAUAAAAUGAGAAGAAAGAAGAACAUUCACUCACCAGACAUUAUUGGCGUGAAGAGGAGCAGGACCCAGUGAAACACCCCAAGCGCCUGUUCUUGGCUCUAUUAUAUGGGCAAGAACGAAAUAUUGAUAAAAUUGUCACAAAGUCUCAAUCAAUCACCCUCACGACACUCUCACUAUAUACAAUUAUGCAGUAAUAUGGCCAGGGAAGCAUUAGUUUGAGUUUUUCUGCCCUCAUCCCUACUAUUUAAAGUCCCAAGAACUCAAUGAUUUGACAAUGAUUUGAUUGCGCGAUACUUUCAAUUUGAAUAUUCAAAGACUUCGCAAAAAUACUUAUAUCUUAGCUAUUUUCGCCAUCAGAGCGCAUGUAAGAGCACCCCCUUUAAUAGAAUAUUACACCAUUUCACACUUUGACACAAAAACAAAAAUAUAUUUUUGACAUUUUAUCACCCUUUUGAUAUUGAUGCCAAGAGGCUGGCUGUGGAGCUCUCUUUGCACUUUACAAUAUGAAAGAGUGAGCAAAUGUCAUUUCAAACAACACACAACAACCUCAAUAUAUAUCAUACAGUUCAUAACCAUAUAAAUAAAUAAGAAAUAAUAUGUUCUGUAGCUUGAUUGUAAACCAUUUUUCCAGAAAUGUAGGAAUGGUGGGCGUGGCAUAUAGUGGCAGCCAUUUUGACCAUCAGAGCAUGGGGAGCUUGUGCUCUCUGACACAUUUAACACAAGUUAACAGUUCUCUAAUGAACAUUGAAUUAAUAUUAUUUUGUAUCAUAUGUAACCUGAAUUUUUAUAUUAAUCAUAUGUAAUCUGCAAUGCUUUAUCGAAGAGUUGCCCUCAAAGUAGGAUAUUUCUUGUAAUUAUCUCAAAUAUUUUAAAAUCACAAUCAAAUGAUGCUGUUGCAAUAUUGACAAUAUUAUAUGACCAAAAAAAAAUACAUUAUUUAUAUUUUACAUACUAGGAAGGAUUUUGUAAAUUAAAGGAAGAGGGCAUUAAUACAAUUAAAUGUGCUCGUAGUUCGUCCUAUUUUAUUAAAAUACUUCUUUGUGUUUUUUUGUUUGUUUGUUUGGUUGUUUUUUUUUUUUUUGCUGAUGAACGUAUAUUAGAGUGUGAUGCUUAUCAUAAGAACCCUAAUAUAUAAUAUUAAUAAUAUCCCAUUAAUGAGCUAUUAAUAAAGGAUUUAUUUCAAUAUAGGACCAAAUUUAACAAACUUCUGCAUCAAACUUAAAUGUCUACAUAGUUUGUUUUUUUGUUUGUUUUUUUAAAAAAAUAUUUAACAUAUUUUCAUUUAAUAUAUGUAUGUAUUUUUCGUUUUAUUGAGAUUUUGGAUUGAUAUUUUGUCAUUAUUUAUAGGUAGUGCCUGCUUGCAGUUUUGUAGCGGGGUUUAUCUUAAGGCAUUGUAAGAGACGCGGAUAUUUGCGCAUCACAUAUCCAGUUUAUACAUAAGCUAUAUUUUGUUAUUAUGAUCCACACAUAUAUAUGUAUAUACCCUUCUGUGUGUGUGUGUGUGUGUGCUUUUUUUUCUUGUGGCAUUUCUCAGUAAGCUUGUGUUUAAAAGAUGUCAAACAUUUUUGGCGUCGAUUGGUCACUUAUGCUUACAUAAAUUAUUUAAGAGUGA